UCAGGAAUAUUGCGCAAUGGAGGAAACUCUGACGCAGCGACGCCGCGUGGGUGAUGAAGGCCUUCGGGUCGUAAAGCCCUGUCGGAGGGGAAGAAAAGCUUGCUGGCUAAUAUCCAGCAGGCCUUUGACGGUACCCUCAAAGGAAGCACCGGCUAACUCCGUGCCAGCAGCCGCGGUAAGACGGAGGGUGCAAGCGUUGUUCGGAUUGACUGGGCGUAAAGGGCGUGUAGGCGGUUGCCCAAGUCCGAUGUGAAAGCCCGAGGCUUAGCCUCGGAAGUGCAUCGGAAACUAGGCAGCUGGAGCGCGAUAGAGGAGGGUAGAAUUCCUGGUGUAGCGGUGAAAUGCGUAGAUAUCAGGAGGAAUACCGGCGGCGAAGGCGGCCCUCUGGAUCGUUGCUGACGCUGAGACGCGAAAGCGUGGGGAGCAAACAGGAUUAGAUACCCCCGUAGUCC
rnacentral:rRNA from 1 species